CCCGGGCCUUGUACACACCGCCCGUCACACCACGAAAGCGGGCAACACCCGAAGUCGGUGAGCUAACCCUUACGGGAGGCAGCCGCCGAAGGUGGGGCUCGUGAGUUGGGGUG
rnacentral:rRNA from 1 species